rnacentral:ribozyme from 1 species
AGGUGUUCCAGAAUCAUGGCCACUGUAUUCCACCUUUUCGCUUUGGGAAGGUCAGGGACUGGCUUCAGCUUCUGCCGAGUGAUGAGCUGGUGAAGGCGAUGGACCGCAACACAGUGGUGCUGCCUAAGGGAGGUGACGGGUCGUACGCGCCUCCUGGGGCCGGUGGCGCUGAAGCUGCACUUGGAUUUCCCUGGGGAGAACUUUCAGAGCAGGGCGUGCAGGACCUGCGUCGAGCAGGAAGUGC